UACGUAGGGGGCAAGCGUUGUCCGGAAUUAUUGGGCGUAAAGAGCGCGUAGGCGGUCUGAUAAGUCGGUUGUGAAAAGUCGGGGGGCUCAACCCUCGGAUGCCGAUCGAUACUGUCAGGCUAGAGUCCGGAAGAGGCGAGUGGAAUUCCUGGUGUAGCGGUGAAAUGCGCAGAUAUCAGGAGGAACACCAAUGGCGAAAGGCAGCUCGCUGGGACGGUACUGACGCUGAGGCGCGAAGGCCAGGGGAGCAAACAGG
rnacentral:rRNA from 1 species